GAUGAACGCUAGCGGCAGGCCUAACACAUGCAAGUCGAGGGGCAUCGCGGUGCAGCAAUGCACUGGCGGCGACCGGCGUACGGGUGCGUAACGCGUAUGCAACCUGCCCCGCACCGGGGGAUAGCCCGCCGAAAGGCGGAUUAAUACCCCAUGGUCCCGGGGGCCCGCAUGGGCAUCCGGGUAAAGCCUUGGCGGUGCGGGAUGGGCAUGCGUGCCAUUAGCUGGCUGGUGGGGUAACGGCCCACCAGGGCAACGAUGGCUAGGGGGUCUGAGAGGAUGGUCCCCCACACUGGUACUGAGACACGGACCAGACUCCUACGGGAGGCAGCAGUGAGGAAUAUUGGACAAUGGGCGCAAGCCUGAUCCAGCAAUGCCGCGUGAGUGAUGAAGGCCUUAGGGUUUAAAGCUCCUUUACCAGGGAUGAUAAUGACAGUACCUGGAGAAUAAGCUCCGGCUAAACUCCGUGCCCAGCAAGCCGCGGUAAAACUCGUCUCUA
rnacentral:rRNA from 1 species